CACGUAGGGCGCAAGCGUUGUCCGGAAUUAUUGGGCGUAAAGAGCUCGUAGGCGGUUUGUCGCGUCGAAUGUGAAAACCCGGGGCUCAACCCCGGGCCUGCAUUCGAUACGGGCAGACUAGAGUUCGGUAGGGGAGUCUGGAAUUCCUGGUGUAGCGGUGAAAUGCGCAGAUAUCAGGAGGAACACCGGUGGCGAAGGCGGGACUCUGGGCCGAUACUGACGCUGAGGAGCGAAAGCCAGGGGAGCAAACGGG
rnacentral:rRNA from 1 species